UAAUACGGAGGGUGCAAGCGUUGUUCGAAUUUACUGGGUAUAAAGGGAGCGCAGGCGGCCUGAUAAGUCAGGGGUGAAAUAUGACGGCUCAACCGUCAAACUGCCCCUGAAACUGCCAGGCUUGAGUCCGAGAGAGGUAGGUGGAAUUCCAGGUGUAGCGGUGAAAUGCGUAAAUAUCUGGAGGAACACCGGUGGCGAAGGCGGCCUACUGGCUCGGAACUGACGCUCAGGCACGAAAGCUAGGGGAGCGAACGGGAUUAGAUACCCCGGUAGUCCUAGCCGUAAACGAUGGACACUAGGUGUUGGAGGAGUCUACCCCUUCAGUGCCGCAGCUAAUGCAUUAAGUGUCCCACCUGGGGAGUACGAUCGCAAGGUUG
rnacentral:rRNA from 1 species